rnacentral:lncRNA from 1 species
AGUUUUUCUUUGCCAAUUGACAUUGAACAUGCCACGGCUAUUGAGUAUGCUCAAGCCUCACUGGGUUGCUUUUUGGGGGACUACCCCCUUGAUUUUAUUCUCCAUUAUGAUUUUUGUACUUCUGCAAAUCUGGAGGUUCCACUGAACACGCUAAUAAGCUCUUCUUGUUUCUCAGUGACCUUGUUUUGGCUGCAAUCUGUUUGCUUUCAGCAACUACGGUAAGUCUGCUGCUAGAGGAAGAGGUGAAAAACUAGAGUGGGUCAAUCCUGCCGUUUGUAUGGAUAAUUGAGACCAAAUAAUAUGUUUGGACCUUACGUAUGAAAUAAUAACAAUUAAUGAUAGGUUUGGACCCAAAAUAUUUCUGCAAAACAAAACUAAGGCAACAUUUUCAAUUGCCAACUGCACAGGAAAUUAUUUGGAACACAACUGGUUUCAGCCACUGAUGCCAGCAAUGGAUUUGGGCAAAUUCAGCUGGAUAAUUUAAGUUCCAAUAAAUGUGCACUCAGUAACCUUUUGGCAGGUGCAGUUUUAUGACGUUCCCAUUUGUAUCUCUCCAGUUCCAGAGGUGUACCAAAGGGUAAUCCAAGAAAGAUGUGUGGGUUUUGAUGGUUAUCCUAGUAUGAGGAAAGGUGAGUUUUGCAACCAAAAGGUGAAAAACACCAGAGAUAUUUGAUUAUUAUCAAUGAAAAUCAUUGAUUAUUAUCAAUGAAAAUCAUUGUUUAAGGUUGCAAUGUUUUACACACUUUAUAGGAUUGAAAGUGUAAGUAAAACAUAAAUUUGGAAUGAUAAUUUUUCAUAGCAUAUCAGGACCUGAUGCAUAUUAUUAAAAAAGACAGCCUGUCUUAUAGUCAGAAGAAAAUCUCUAUGCUGUAUCAUAUCCAAGGAAGAUGUACUGUUACAAUCAAAACUGGGGCUCUGGCUGAAAUGUGUAGUCACUCCAAAGGACAGAACAGAUCAACAGCCAAAAUGAAUACUUAGCACAGUUUAUUCUAGACAUGGCAGCAGAGAGAAUAUCAUUAAGACCCUACUAGCCCCAGAUGUUGAAUAUUACUGGACACCAGCCCAGUAGCAACAGCACUCAAGCAGCCAAAGGAGUAAUUGACAGAAACACCUGGGUUGAACUAUUAUAAUUGUUGGAAGUAAAGCAGCAACACGUGUAAUAUGUUACCUGAACCUGUCAGAGGUGAUAAACAGAAAGGAAUCUAUUCUUCCUUUGUUGAUUCCUUCUUGAGUCACGAUUUGUUGCACUGUAGGUUGUGUUUCCUCAGACUUUACUUCUGUCCUUUCCACUUCUUCUUCGCUCAGCUGGUGUUAGAUCUUUUGUUUUGAAUAAUGGUCAGGGGUGCUGUGGGCAACACUGGCCUCUGUCCCUCUUUCCUUCCCUCCCUCCUCUGAUGCCUUCUUGCAUCUCUGCCUCCCAAAGGCUUGCACAGCUGUUUGUUGCAGCAGCUCUAGCUUCAAGCUCCCCAGGUGAAUGGUGCCUCUGGGGCUGACCAGGGAGUGCUUCCCAGGCCCCUUUGGGGCAGUGUGAGGAGGCACCUCUCUCUGGGGCAGGGGCGGCAGCUGCAGCUGCCCAGAGGACUCCCAAGGAGAGGGGGAGGAGACUGAGGGAACACUCCACAAGGGAGGGUGUUUGAAAAGGGAUGAGGGGCUGCCGGCUCAUCCCACAGGGGUGCCACAGAAGGAAUGUAGUUGGUCAAGGGAGCCAUGGACCCAUAAAGGUUGAAAACCUCUGAUAUAGACAAUAUAUAUAAAUGACAGAACCAUCAUACCACAAGAGCUAAGUAGAAGUUCUGUACCCAAGAGUCAUCUAUGAUCUAUUUAAAGGACUCAGUGAUCAAGCAAGUGUUCUCAAAUAAAUACUUGCAAUUACCAUGUAACACCCCUCCCCAAAAAAUCCCCACCCAUAAGCAGCUGCCUUCUACUGUGUCAGAACAUUGCUCCAUUUAGUUCAGCAUUGCUUACACUGACUGGCAGUGACUUUCCAGGGUUUCUGGUGGCAUUCUCUCCAAACCCUACCUGAAGAUGCUGUGGGUUGAGGCUGGGACCUUCUGCGUGCAAACUUAUCAUCAUGCCCUUCCCUCUCAUUCCAUCCCUUUGCUCAGUUUCUGAAAACAAAGGUGCCUGGAAGCCGUGUCAUCUGUUGUGGAUGCUGUAGUCCUUCAUACCCAAAUAAGUGGGAAUGGGCAAAGCUAUUUGCUGUGGAGGAAAAGACACUUUGACUAUUCUCAGAAGCAUUCUGCUGUUUCGUUUAUCAUUACCCAUUGUAUUCCAGGAUAGAGACUAGGUAGUGAAAACCAAUUCUAUGGCUCAGAGCUUUAACAAAUAAUUAAGCCCUGUUUCGUACAGAAGCAGAAGAUUAGAUUCUCCCCACCCCACCCCACUCCCCCCAUGUGCCACUGAAAAAGGAGAAAGUGCUGCGUCUGUAUCGCUUUUUAAAACAUCAUAGAGAUUAGUUGCAUAAAUCUGUUAUUUAGCAAUAAAAGGCUUUCUGUGAGGGGUGGGAGCUGAAAUUCUGGCUCCAUGCUUUAGAAUAGAAAGCCAGGCUCCUACAUUGCUCCCCGGAAUGAUUAUUUUAAUGUGGCAAGUUUGUCAGCUUAAUAUGAAAACAGUGUUCUUCUCUCUCAUACACACUCCUUUUAUUUGCAUUUGAUUCAGGCUUCCAGCCCACCUCUUCAGAGACCGCAAACCCCGAGACUGAGGAGGAGGGGAGGGGGCGAGGGAGGGAGGGAGCCAGCCAUUUUCUUUCUUCUGAGAAGUUCAUUAAAAGAUCCGCUGUACACAAGAGAGAAGAACAAUAAUGUGGCGAAAUGACUUUGUGUGUGUCCUGUACUUAAACACCCAAUGGACUGAAGCAAGUUCAUAGUGAUGGGGAAGCUCGCCUUACAUUUUUCUCUCCCUUGAAGACAUGGCUAACCAGUAUUUGAAUAAACAAGAGCAGUCGUCUCCACCCCUCGUAGUCUGCCUUUCUAAACCUAACAAAGGUUUCCCAUGAAUUCUGAGUAUUUCUUAUUUUUUAACCUUUCUAUGAAUUAUAAUAAGCAAAGAGAAAAGGGAGCCAACAGCUCCAGCGAUAAAACAAUGCGCCUCAGUGGCAGGAGUAGAUUGCCAUCUACUGGGCUGCGGCCUUUACAUGCACGAACGAGGCAGACGCUCUCCAGAACAGUCUCAGACAGAACCUUUUGUUUCAUCUCCUCAGGCAACAUUUUGUCCUGCUCUCUGUAUUCAUGAAAGGCGUGAAAUUCACAAAGUAUCAUUGGAACAGGUGAUUCAGCAAGGACAAGCCAGCCAAUUUACCCGGUAGGUAAAUUCCUUCUGUUAUAAAUAUCCUUGGCUCUUUGUCUUUUGCUGGUUUACCAAAGUGAAAGACGGCGUUACGAUCAGUCACAAAGCAAGGAGAAUGUGUGUGCUUUAGUCACCCCGCCCCACUUUUAGUCCAAUGCGCAGGACUUGCGUAAUGGAAUAAAGUUGUGGGUGUUUUCAAGCGUCCGUGCGACUUUAUUUCCUUCACACAAUAUGGCAGCCUUUUUGGAUACUGGUAAAGCCAUACCUAGAUACUGAAAAGCAAGAUCGAAAGCACUUGUUGAGAUUGAAACAGGAUUUCAGACAAAGGUUGCUCCCAGUUUGACCUAGAGAUGCCAGCAAUUGAAUCUGAAAUAUUAUGUGUGUAAAGCAAGUGUCUGCCUCUAAACAAUCAUCCUUCCACUAUUUUUAGAAAGGAAGACGCCAGUCCUCAUGGUUCUGGGGAAAAGGUGGAACUUAAAUAGGAAGCUGCUUUACACCAAAUCAAACUGUUAGUCCAUCCAGCUAGGAAUUCUUGAUACACCGACUAGCAGCAGCUCUCCAAGAUUUCAAAUGGACGUUCUCAGUAUUGCUUGGAUUUGCUGGGGAUUGAACCUGGGACUAUCUGCGUGCAAAGCAGGUGCUCUACCACUUAGGUACAGCCCGCUGAGCUUCUUACCAAAGCAUAGUGCCAUGUUAGGAGUUUGGGAAGGCAAGAGAACACAACCAUUCCAGCAGUCUUAGCAAAUGUCACUGAAAUUGUGCAGAAACAGCACAUAUGAAUUCCAGUGUUUCUAUUAGAAAUUCAGGCGCCUGCCUUAGCUUAAGCCAUCAUGGCGCACACUGUGGGGUAUUUAAAGUGCAGUCAAACCAAUAAUUCAUGUUUUGCUAGAUUGACAUGUGAUAGGAGCUGAAGCUCACAGAGUUUCCCUGUAAACUUGGAGAGGACUCUGUGAGAGACACUCCCACUGUGCCCUGACAGGCGGAGAGCAUAGCUGUAUAUUCUCCUACCUGCCUGGGCACAUCCUCUUUCUUCUCUUCCUCUUUCCACUUUGCCAGCAAUGUGAGAACAUCUGCUAGUUUGAGCUCCAAACUCCGACACCAUUUUAAGCUAGACUUAAGUACCGUAUUUUUCGCUCUAUAAGACGCACUAGACCACAAGACGCACCAAGUUUUUGGAGAAAGAAAACAAGAAAAAAAAUAUUCUAAAUCUCAGAAGCCAGAACAGCAAGAGGGAUCGCUGCGCAGUGAAAGCAGCAAUCCCUCUUGCUGUUCUGGCUUCUGUGAUAGCUGCACAGCCUGUAUUCACUCCAUAAGACGCACACACAUUUCCCCUUACUUUUUAGGAGGGAAAAAGGGAGUCUUAUAGAGCAAAAAAUACGGUAUGUCUUCGUAAUUUAAUUACUGCUUUAAGCCUUCCUGAACAAAGCUGCUGUAUCUGCUACUCUUCAAUGAGUGUUCCGAGUGAGUAAAUGUUAUUUUUUACCUUUUACUAGACUGUUUGUGGGAGAAAAGGAGGAAAUACCAGGAGAAUCCAGUCUGCCUUAAAGCAUCCUGGAUUACUUCAACUAAAAGGCUUAAACUAGCCUAUCUAAGCUUCCCUUUUAGGCUGCAAAGGGAUGGCACACUGCUGCACUCACAAACGUGAGGAAGGAUAAUACCUAAUAAAUAUAUCCUCUCCUAGAAUCUGAUCACAUCCCAACACACGUAGUACCUUAUGCAGAAAACCCCAUAGUUCCUUACUUCCAGUUCUUGCUAGCACAACUGGUUAGCAGUUGCCAGAGAGCUCUUAACCUCAGGAACACAUUCAUAACAGUGUUUUAGAUAUCAUUUCAUUACUCAGUUUGUGGACUGGCCAGGAAAUCUGGAUGCUGCGCCACAUCUGAUAAAGCCCUACAUGGAUAGCUCUCCCCACAUAGGAAAGUUUGUGGACCUUAGAUUCACAUUGUCACAACGAGUGCCCACUGACCCAUUUCACCAAAUGUUCAUGCAAGUUAAAACCACUGUGUGUUUCUGUGACACAGACUGGGGAACCCGUGGCCCUGUUGAAAUGUUGGACUACAACUCCCAUUAUCCCUGACCAAUGGCCAUGCUGGCUGGGGCUGAUGGGAGCUGAAGUCCAAUUGCUGCUCUGUGAGGCAGAAACUACAGCUCCCAACUACAGAUUCUUAGGGGGAAGCCAUGUGCUUUAAAUGUGCAUUGGAUGUGCUUUGAAUGUCUGGUGCGGAUCUGCCCAGAGGAACCAUGUCAAGACUUCAGUGUAUUCGAGUUGAGUCUGAGUUCCUGGAAAAUCAGAGCUUCUUUCUGUACAACAAGGAUUGGAGCAUUCUACUUCAGCCCUAGUCGAUGCAUCUUGUCUUGCCGAGAGCAAAGACAGUAAAAUGAUUCGAAAUCACUGAUUAAGGGAAUUGCUGAUUUAUACCUAUCUUCAUCCCAUUCAUAUAUAACAUCUGUCCAUGUGAGCACACAACCAGGAAUAUCUGGGACUUUGUGUACAGAGGGGAGGGGAGAACAUAUUGCGUGAAUUGGCCUGAAGACAUUGGCAUCUGCCAAAUAUAAAUAGCUGAAUAACCGAAAGUAAACAAGUCUACUUUUCACUUAAGUGACCAUUUCCCAUAAUUUGGAGAGAAACUGCCUAUUGAAGAAGCCAGAAGAAUAAUAUUUUAUACAUGUUUUACAAGUACCUUUACGGAGCCACAACUGGUGCUUAUACAUCAAUUAUAUUAGAAGAAUACAUUACACCCGUCUUCAGUGUUUGCUGCAGCUGCACACUAUUUACAAGCACUCUACCUCUUGUGUAAAUCACUUGGUGUGCAUGCGCUGUACACUGCUCCCCUCUCCAGCAAUGUGUACCAUUGUGUCGUGAUUCUAAUACCUUUCAGAGUAUCUGCUCUGUGCCCCAAUUUUUAGCUAUCCAGUACCAGUAAUUUGCCUUUAAGCAGUUGCAUUAAGGUGAUGUUGCAUUGUAAGAAUAAGAUCCAAGAAGUCAGUUACCAUGGGAUAAACCUUCAUGUUAUCUGUUCCUUUUGAGGGAGCAAGAUGGAAACCCAUGUUGCAAAUGCAAUGAAAUAAAGAUGAGAGAUCAAAGAUUGAGAUGAAACAAAACAACAUCUUCCCUGCUCCAAAAAAAAAAAAAAAAAUCCAGUCAGAAAAAAAUGGUUCCAUUCAUGAUCUUUCAUACUUAUUUCAGAUAUGUUCCAUAAAUUCCUAUGGCUGAUUAUAUAGUUGGAUUUCCAUUAAAAUACCCAUUUGGAUUGUAAGAUUUCCAAAUACAAGGUCUUUAAUAAUAAAGAUGGCCAUAAUUUCAAAGCAGGUGGAUAUGAAUAUAUUAGUUUUGUGUCCAUGCUUGUACAACCUAUAAAUAAAGACAGUUGAAAUACCAAAGCUUAUCCACAUGAAAAUGAUUUAUAGUUCUUAGCCUUCCUAGCAAGAACAGAGUAGGACUGAUAUAAAAAUGUACAUUCAACAAAAUCAUGCAUAUUAGACCAAAUACCUUUAGGAACAGACAAGAGCAAAAAGAAUGAAUUAAAAGUUAUAUAAUCUUCCUACAUAGAAUGAUGUGGAACAUUCCAAAUUUAAGCAAACCCUUGGAGCCAUAUUUAUUCUAGAGGAAAGCAAUUUAUAGUGUGGUUCUCUAUUAUCUGAUUAGAGAGAUUCUAUUAACCCGCUUAAUACACUGUUUCUGUAUCCUAUUUUUAUUUGCAACAAUUCAUGGCCUGUUUCCAGUGCCCCCUUUGACUGUCACAAUGAGGAUGCUUUCUGAUAUUCAGAAUUUACGGACUAUCUGAAACAAAACAAAAAAUUAUCACUCUGCCAGUCUCAGUCUCCAUGCAAUUGGAAUUAUAAAUUAUAUUGCAAAAUAAACACACACACACACACAUCCAGAAACACACACACAUCCCCAGACAAAGCAGGCACAACUUCAGAAUGCCUAUAAAAAAUUGACUUCAAAAUUAACUCCCCAAGUUGUUUCACAUUUCAGCAGAGAUUAACAUCAUUCUGUUUACCAAAAGGUAAAUGAUUACUUGAGACUCUAAGUAAGUCUUAUAUGCUUUGACCACAGUUAUAGAUUAGGAAUGGACCAACUGCUUAUUUUCAGGAGUCACUUUAUUCACCUAGCCUUCACCCAUCUGGUACCUUCCAGGUGUUUUGAAAUACUAAUCCCAUCAGUCCUACCCAGUAUGACCAGCAUGACCAAUGUUGAAGUUGAAGUCCAAAACAUCUGAAGCAAACUAGGCUGGGGAAGGCUGCUUUCGAAUGUGAUCCAGGGUCCGAAAGUGUGUUUUACUGCACAACCGAGGCUUCUUCUGGAGAGACAGGAUCUAUAAUGAAGUCAGUGCUUGCCUGUCAUGAUGUCAUGGACUGGCUGGGUGCAAAGGAGUAGUGGGUGGCACCUGCGGGGAAACCCCCAAGGGAAGAAGGCUCAGAGCCAGGGGAUUGGUGGUGGGAUGAUAGAGUGGUAAGAGGAAGCAGACUGGGAGGAGGAGGUAUCAGAAGCUGAAGAGAUGACAGGGUUUAGUGAGCAGGGGGAGCCUGUGGCAGAGAGAAGUCCAGAAUCAGAAGCUGAAGCAGGAGAGGAGGGAGACCAAGAAGCAGAGAGGGUUCAGGGUGGUGAAGAAUCCAGGGUGUCUCCCCCUCCUGCUGAGACACGCUUCCCUCCCCCUACCCUUGGUCUCCCAGGAGCAGAAGAGGAAUGAAGAGGGAGGAGCAAAGACAGGCAAGACAAAGCAGCAUCAGAUUGCUUGGGAAGGACCCAGGAAAGAAGGAGACUUGGAGAGCUGUGGGAAGGUGGCGGACCUUCAGUCUUCACAACUGCGUCAUUGGGGUAAGUUGCUGUGCUCAAUAGGUCUGUUCGUUUCUUUGAAUAAAGAGUUAACAUCACUGAUAGCAUAUGCACAGAACAAUGUAGCACAAUUCAUUUGCAAUAAUCAGAGUUUCCCAUUGUGUCUUGGAGAAGGUAUCAGCCGGGCCUUCACAUGCGAAGCCUGUCAUGACCCCUUAAUGCAGCAGCAAGCUAGACACACAAAGGUUGCAGAUGCAUCAGAUAUGGAGCCAGGUCAACUUCCAGACCCUGAGCUGAGUGCUGGAUAUAAGGAGACCAUAGCACCUGAGAUGGUUGGGCAGGAGAACCUCCCAGACUAUGAGGAUCUACCACCACAUGUCACUGCUCCAUUUGCACUGUGAGAGCACCAAGAAGGAGGCUAUGGAAUGGAGGAGUGCCUACCUUCAGGCCACAGGAUUAACCCUUUAAUGCUCUGAAGGGGUAAAGCCUGGAGGUUACCUGGAGGUUUAAAAUGCCUCCAUUUACUUUAAACCAGGCAUAGGCAAACUCGGCCCUCCGAAUGUUUUGAGACUACAAUUCCUAUCAUCCCUGACCACUGGUCCUGUUAGCUAGGGGUGAUGGGAGUUGUAGUCCCAAAACAUCUGGAGGGCCAAGUUUGCCUAUGUCUGCUUUAAGUUGGACAAAGUUGCUUACUUGGAGCUAUCUGUGGUCAGACAACCUUGCCCUACCACUGUCUCUGUGAGAUCCAGCAUCAGACCAGAACCUGGCAAAACCCAAAUAUAUCAUGAAAAGUACCUGAGAGACUGUCUCCCACAGCUUUAUAAACCUAUUUUAAUUUCCUUACUGGGGGAAAUGGACAAUUUGUUGUUGCUCUCUUACCAUAACUGAAUUCAUGUAUCCUGCUAAAGACUAGAUAAAAUAAUUUGUUGACUACUUUCAGGUCUUGCCCCAUUGCAAGAAUAGAUGGCUUUCUAUGCAGUGACCAAGGAGAUAUCAAGGGUGCUCUGAUCUUGGUUCCAGAGAGAUCACACACAGAUUCCUCCAAAUAUUCAUGCAGUUUCACACAAAAACCACUCAUAAUUAUGAUGGCUGGUCUGCUCUAAUUAGAAUACCUCUCUCUCACAAUCCUAUACUAUACUAGUGUCUGCAGCCCUGCUGUGUGAGGCUGAAGAGAAUAAAAAAUAUAUGCUACAUCUGAGAACAAUAAAGCCAGGCUCAUUAUAAAGAUAUAAUAAAGCAUAAUAAAACAGCAUAAUAAGGUAAUAAUAUACCUUGCCAUAAAUGUGUAGUACUUCUGGACAGAACUAUAAUACUGCUGAGCAUUCUAAUACUCUGAGUGUCAAAGUAUUCGUGUCAUUCAUCCUUGCCUUUGGCGUAAGACAUGGUCAUUCAUCCAUUCUUCCUGCGCAUCAGUCUGUAUAAACCAGAUUGUGUUCCACAACUGGAGACAAAGUGCACUGCAGAAAGAUCCUGGCCAAUCAGAUAGCUCCAGGGCACUCUGUCUGCAAGCAGCCCUGGUGAAUGACAUAAUGAAACAAACCGUUGUUGUGGAUGUGUAGCAUCGUCCCUCCGUUACGACUUCUGUCUCUUUUGCCCUGAUUUCCACCCUCAUCCUCUGCUACGUUUGUGUACAUUUCAUCGCACUCAAUGCAUCGUUUCUGACGCCAAGUUAUUGAACACAGUGAUCACCUCACCUUCAGGUUAGUUUGGGCUGAUUAAAUAUCUGCUCUUGAAUACCACAGCAGCAUUUCCUUGAUUGCUGGGCAAGCAGGGAGCCGAGAUGGCCCAACAAGACAUAAUGUAUUCCUCGGUUCUCCAUCUGUAAAACUUGGGGAGCUUUUUCUUGCUCUGUGUGAGCUUAAUAUUACAGCAAAUCACAUCUCUCAGCAGUGAUGCUAAAAGAAUAUCUGUUUUCUGUCUGUGCACUGAGUGGGCAGGGAGUUUUUAUUUCAUACUUCAUUUGCACCUUGCUGGGUGAUGCCAUAGAAAAGGCAGCAGUUUCAUCUCCUCCCACCUAUGCAGCAGCACAUUAUGUUCUCCAGUCGCACCCACAACACUCAUCAUAAACCCAGGCCUAAUGUGAAUCAGAGGGCUCCUGCCCUCUGAGUUUUUAUUCUCCCUAUCUCCUCUCUGCAACAUUUCAGAGAUGAUAAAAUCACAUUUUAUUGUCUGAAUAAAGUGGGUUUGAAAGCAGAGACUUGACGAAUGGCAAAGCAACUACCAAACUCUUAACACAUAAUCGAAAAAGAAAAACAUUGAGAUGGCCAUCAAAAGCUCUUUACGAGGGAGAGAAAUGGAGAGAUAAUUAACAAAAUAUAUUAGACUGGGGGGUGGAAAUGCUGAGUUAGAUAGAGCGUUCCUCCUAAAGGCGAUGCAUUUUCACCCAAACUCCUAAACAAACAGCAAGAGUUAAAAUCAUGUGUCAUCAGUAUAAAAGCAAUAGCUUGGGGCGGAGUGAUGGGAUAUAGAAAUUGAAAAGCUUUGGGGGAUAUUACAGAACUGAGGGGGAAGAGGGUGCUAAAGGAGGUUAGAAAGACAUGGAGAACAAUGGAAAAUGCCUACUCCAAUCAAAUGCAUCGGACGCUUGGUCAGAGCAGGACCUGAGUUCUGCAAAAGACUCAAGGCCAUCUCUUGGUCGAAAGUGUCAAAGGCAGUUGAUAAAUCAUAUAGGAGUAAUGAAGGGACACCACUUUCAGGCUGAACCAUUAAGCCUCAAAUCUUCACAAAGCUACUGCCAGUGGCUCAGAGGAUUAGCAAGGAGGAUUUUCGCUCUUUGCCCGGGAGCAAGCUUAUUUAAACUAGUCCAAGUUGGUAGUAAGCACACAUUGGAAAUGAAACACACACACACACACCUAAAAUCAACUCUCAAAUCUCAAGGUGCAGAAUUGUGGGGGGGGGGUUUAAAUGAAAAUGUCUCAUUAUAGAAAAAUUGGAACUGUAAUUCCCUUCUAAAAUGGGAAGCAAAUCCCAGGACAGAGAGGGUUGGAGACCUACCUACCAUUGGUCAGUGUAGAAGUAAAGGGGGUACUGGCAUUUAGGGGUUGCAUGUUUCAGAAUGUUUUCCUUCCUGUUUUUUUGUCUGGAGUCAGAAACCAGCUUUUAACUGAUCAUGGUGGAAGAUGGUUAUAUAUUUAAUUUACAGAUCCUGUACACAACUGGACUUUGGUGACGUUGGUGUGAUUUUCUUUUGACCCACUGUUCUCCCUGGUCUCCUGACCUAAAUGUUAUCUGUCCCCCCAGUGGUGACAAUACUGCUCCUGUUUGUUUACGUUCCUGACGCAGCUACAGGAUUUAUGCAGUCAGUGGAUUUGUGAAAAUAGUGUGCGAGAGACACAAUGUGUAUGGCUCUAGAUAUGACUGCACUGCAAUUUAACUGGCAAGGGGAUCAAUAUGCCAAAGCUUGCUUCCUCACGCAUACAUAGGGAGCUGCCUUGCUCCAAGGCCACACCAUGUCCUUAUACCACUUUAAACUGUCAUUGGUUCGCCCAAAGAACUCUGGGAGCAGUUUUUGGUUAAGUGCGCUGAGAUCUGUUAAGAGACCCCUGUUCCCCUCACUCAGCUACAAUUCCCAGACCUCCCAGGGAAGAAGGAUUGGCUGUUAACCCACUCAGGAAAUUGUUGCUCAAGAGCGGAGGAAUAGGGGCAUCCUUCCUUACCUGGAAAUGUGUCUUUCUGAAUGUAAAAAGUGAUUGACCAUUGAAUUGGGAGCAGAUAAGUGUAUGCACAUUUUAAAUUCCCAUGUUAAAAUUACUCCCAUUUGUUAAAGGUUUCACCUAUACAUUAUUCAUAAUAUAGUAUAUGCAGUCCUCUUAUAUUUGCUGAUUAUCCUCUGACAACUGUGGAUUACAUUCUUUCAUGGAUUUAACAUCAAUUAUGUAAUGUACUUUGUGAACAAAGCAUAGCAGAAUUAGACUACCGGCUCUCAGCAUGAAGCUCAAGGUGAGCGGUUGAACAGCAGGUGGAAUUAAUUCAGCAUCCAUAUAUCUGGUGGUGGCUGCAAUCCGAAGCAUGCUUACUUGGAAAGAAGUUUCGGUGAAAUUAUUACUAGGUUUAUCCCAUCUGGUGAGACCAGGCCGGUGUCCUAUAUGAAGAGUUCAAGCAGUGUCCUUGCCAACCUGCAGUACACCUGUGUUUUCCACAUUGCACCCCCAUCUCUCUCCCCCCCCCCAUAGGCCCCUUUGGCAGAUGCCCAGCUAUGCUGACCCCAGAUGCAAACCCUAGAUUCAACUGGUGAAGGACCAAUUUGUAAAUCCCAGUUUCAUUACCAUCCUCACCUCCUUGCAAGAUUACAGUUGCAUUGGCUAAGUGAAGUGUAGGUGGGUUCCCGCAAGGCAAGACACAGAGAUAACUGCAAAAACCUUUACUGAACUAAUAAAACUGGACAACAGAGGCAAAGCAACUGCUUAUAUACAUUUCUGAAGGCCUGGGCCACUCCCACUCCCUACAUGAUUGGCUGUCUAAACUCACAAGCUGCAAAUCAUAACUCAGAGUUUAAGGGCCAAUGGCAGAGCCUCAAAUCCUGCGAUGUGCUGUGAUUGGAUAUCAUGUAUAGAAUCAGAACCCAGGGGCUCCAGACUCAAGCUCAGGCGAAAACAGACAACUGAAUACAUAACACUAGCAAUAUUCUAGCAGGAACAGUUGAAGGUUAUACUGUUGGUAUAUGAAGUCCUGAGCAACUUGGGAUCAGGUUCCCUGAGAGACAAUCUUCACCUGCACCAACCUGAUAAGCCAUGAUCUGAGGAUGCCAUCUAGCACACGGGUAGGAAAACUAAGGGCCGGGGACCGGAUCAGGCCCAAUCGCCUUCUAAGUCCUGCCAGUGGACGGUCCGGGAAUCAGUGUGUUUUUACAUGAGUAGAAUGUGUCCUUUUAUUUAAAAUGCAUCUCAGGGUCCCUUGCUGGGUAUAUACUAUAUAUUUAAAACACAUUUGAAGCACAUCGAGGCAUUUUGAGGCCACAUUCACACCAUACAUUUGAAGUACUAUGAUACCACUUUAAAUAGUCAUGGCUUCCCCCAAAGUAUUAUGGGAGCUUCAGUUUGUUAAGGCAAAUGUGAGGAGACCCACCCCCCAGAUUCCCUCACAGAAAUACAGUUCCCAGAGUGCCCUGUGAAUAUGCUUCUAAAACAGUCUGGGAAAUGUAGGUAGCUCUGAAAGGGGAACAGGGGGUCUCCCCACAACUGCCCUUAACAAAGUACCCUUAGCAAACUGAAGCUCCCAGAAUUAUUUGGGGAAAGCCAUGAUGGUUUAAAAUGGUAUCAUAACCUUCAUGGUGUGAAUGUGGCCAGAGUUGUAAUUCCCAGGUCCAGGAAGAAUCAAGGUUCAAAUCUAUGAUCAGCUCUGGAGUUUGUCAAGGGAGUUUAUUGUUAUUAUGGUAUUUGUUGUAUGUGUCUUUUGCGGUUGUUGUUUGUAUCAAAAAAAUGAUUAAAUAAUAUUUUUUUUAAAAGGGACCUCGGACCCACACAUUCUCUCUCAGUCAGCCUUACCUCAUAAGAUUGUUGUGAAGUUUAAAUAGGGUGAGAGAGAACCAUGUAUGAGCUUCUUAAAUACAGGAUGAAAUAAAAAUGCACAAUGCUAAUAUUAACAGAAACAUCAAUAUGCAUGAUUUAGCUCUCAGACAUCACAGCCCUAUGGUCCCUAAUACCUAAAGUUUUAAGAUAGUUAUAGGAGAGUUUAUUAUUAAGUCAAAGUCAGCAAGUAACAGGGAGGGGGGAAUCCAUUUAUCACAUGUAUGGCACACUCUACCACCAAGUCCCACAAUUCAUCAGGAUGUCUCAAGAGUGUGAGAUUUAACCUUUGGAUCUUUGAUUUAGCUGACAGCUCUCUCAAAAUUCAUGCAGUGAGAUAGUUCCCGUUCUGCAUAGCUGUUCAACAUUAAUGCUAGAGUUCGCUGAGCUGAAAAUGGGCAGCGUUUUAUAUGAGCUCAAUCGCCUCCAGGUUUCAGCUUUUCCUGUGGUCAUUUGGUGACCUGGGAUUUGUUCAUUAAAAUCCAGUUUUAAUCUUAGCUUUUACUCUGAUCCAUAAAUGUCUGGGAAGGCCAGUUUUAAAGAGCAGCGAUUUCAGAGACUCAGCUAAAGCAUUUAUCUUUUUCAAAGAAUAUUUUAUAUGUAGCUGAGGACCAAACUUGGUUUUGUGUGUGUGAAGAUCUUUACAACAGUGGUAUAAAUCAGAGAGGACAAACCUGUGACCCUCCAAAUAUUGUUGAACUAUGGGUCCCAUGAUCCCUGAGCAUCAGCCAUGUUGUCUUGGGCUGAUAGGAGUUGGAGCCAAACAGCAUGUGAAAUACAAUUGGUUCCUCAUCCGAGGUCUAAAUAAGGAAUGAAAAAUAGAUUUUCAGAACAGCUACCUGCAUAGAACACUAUAAGGCAGCAGUGAUAAUAGUACAGCAGUAGCUCAGAGCAUGGUGGCAAAGUUUAUCACAGUGGAUUAUGUCAUUCAAAAUCCCAGUGAGGGACUUUUUUCCUCUUCACUAACAUUAGCUUUCGUGGAUGCAGUUUAAUAAGUAAAAUAUUUGAUAAUGCACAUGUUUAAAAAUAAUUGAUAUCAAGCCAUCCUCAUGUUUGGUGUCAAAGUGCUAGAUAAAGUAAUAUAAAGAUUCCUCUCUCAAAACAAUUUUUUAUUUGACUGCUUUCAAUAGAAAAUGACUUACCCUAAAUUUUCAGAAGUAAUUAAAAUGAGAUAGAAUGCCACUUCUGAUGUUACAUAUUAAAGGCAUGGAUGUGCUCUCAGGAGACAUUGCUGCCUCUGAAAAAUAUGUGUCAGUAUAAUGCAAGAGUGACUUCAAUUUACAAUUUCAGAUGCAAACUUUGUUUUGGCUAGAUUAAUUUUAAGCUCUAGUUGAAAUGGUCACAUUUCAGCUCUAGCUUAAAUAGUUUCAGAUGCAACCUUUAUUUAGUAGAUUAAUUUCAGCUCCACUUAAAGUGAUUCCGUUUAGAAUGCAUUCUGUGCAUACUUAUUCUGGAGAGAUGUUUCCACCCCAGCCCUCCAGUCCAAAAGCUAUCAACUUUCAAGAAAACUUGCAGGGUCAAACACUUGAAUCCUGAACACAUUUUCCUUGGCUAAAGAAAAAGGGGGGGAGGAAAUUUGCAUGGCAUGGAGCGGCUCUGCACAUGUGAUUUUGCAUGUUAUGGGACUCCCUACACACAGGAGCCUCACACACAUGGCGAGGGAAAGAGAAUUCGAACACAGCUACCCUCACAGCUUCUGUUGGUGAAGGGAUUGGGAAUCCCCUUCCCUUUGGAUCAGUGCCUUGGUGGUGGUAGCCUCUUUGCAACCUGCCACAGUGCCUCACUGGCUGCCUCUAGAAGCAUCCAUAGGACACCAUGAAGCAUACCAAGAUUUUUCUACCGUAAGGGAACACCCCACCAUAUAGAAGAAUAGCCCACCGAAUGUGUAACAUUUAGCUAGCAAAUGGGACUCCUGUACACAGCCCUGGGCAACAGACAUUAGGCAGAGAUAACUCACAACAAAAUAUUGUUAGCUUUAUUUCCAUAUAAGCCUAAGGUCACAAUUCAGAGACCUUGCUGGCUGCUGAACAGGCAAGUAUGACUUUGACUUCACAGCCCAUCAUGGAGCCAUAUUACCAGACAUGGAUUCUUGACCAGAUUUUCCCACAGACUCUUUGCUGGGUUGUUCCUAUUCCCCGCUGGUUGUAAAUAUGCUUCCUGCCUUGGGAUUAUUCUCUGCACAGUGUGUGGCUCCUUAUAUCUAGAUGUUUGUCUUGCUAGAUCCACUUCUUCCUGUCCUUGUGGCCCCCAUUGUCUCCCUCCAUGACCGCCUCUCUCACGUAGCAAACCCACAGUUUUAGUCCUGGCCUGGCUCAGCUCUGGAUGUGGGGCUUGGAUUUCAUUUGUUGCAUGUUACUGCCUUCUCUGGCAGCCACUGAACAUCAUCAUGGACCACCUUUCUUACACUGGACCCUUCCACAGCAUCACUUCUCCUCAGCCAGUACUGAAGUUUUAUGUUUUAUCUUUACCUCUACAUGUUUGCUGAAUAGGCUUCUACUUUGCUUUGCAGAGAACAGUCUUCUGUUUGAAGGGUUGUCAGGGGAAAAUCUUCUAUAUGAACUUCACUCCAGUCCAAGUCUGGCUAAAAGAUAGAGAAAGGAGACCUUAAAGCUGUCCAUCAACCCCUUGUCAGAAGAUUAAGCAAGCACACUGGUCACUUUGGUGAGGUGUAUUUCGAUUUAAAUCAGACUAAUUAUUUCUAAAUAUAUACAUAGCCAACAGCAUGUAUACAUUUUAUGCAAAUCUCAGCCCUCUUUCUUCCUCUUUCCAGGUGAUGCAUUUCCUCGUUUAUGAGGAUAUCUAAGAGGGCACCCAGUAUAGAAGGGGCAGGUCACAGCUCAGUGGUAGGACUUUUCCUGCUCUUCCUGCAUACUGUCUCAGGCUCCAUCCCAAGAAAACCUCCUGCCAAUCAGAGGAGACUUAAAAAAAAAAAAUCUCCUUACAUCUCUACCAUCAUAGAACUCAGGACGGGGCACAUAUGGUUCCUAGGCAGUCACCCAUCCAGGCACUGACCAGACCCAGAUCUGCAUAGCAUUAUGAUCCUUCAGAUACUACUGGUCUAAAAGGACCAAUGAACAUAUGCCUGUGUUGGCAUGUGCUGUUUAUGCAGAAGUCAUGGACUUACAUACAGUAUAAUAGACUGUAAAAAGGGACAGCAUGUCACAGCAGUGGUACCUUGGUUUACGAACUUAAUCCAUUCCAGAAGUCUGUUCUUAAACCAAAGCGUUCUUAAACCAAGGCGUGCUUUCCCAUAGCAGCUGUGGACUCAGUUUGCAAAUGGAACACACUCAACAGGAAGCAAAACAUGUUCUUAUUCCAAGGCAAAGUUCACAAACCAAAAGGCCUACUUCCAGGUCUGCAGCAUUCUUAAUCCAAGUUGUUCCUAAACCAAGGUACCACUGUAUAUGGCUCAGGGAUUUGCUUUCUGUGUUCAUACAUUUAUCACACAUGUUUGUGAUAGAGUAAAUGUUCAAAGGGGUUAGGGAUUGUUUGCUCAUGUGGCAUUAAAAAGAAAGAGCAUAUUCACAUUCCUCCCCUAUUCUUUUCUUUUGGAUGGCUGUUGAAAACAUCUGCAUUUUUAUUUGAGAUGCUGAAUGUCAAAGGCACAAGAGCUUUCUUUGCUUAAGGCUUUUGGGGAAGCAGAAGAGAUGGGCGAGAAUAAACUAACUGAUAGAAUUAGUGUAUUACAAUUGGAUUGUUUUAUUGACUUGGUGGUUUAUUUCUGUACCAAGUUUUAAGAUUUCAGUAGUUGUGGAAAAGAAGCCCGUAUAGAGAGUUAAUAAAGAAACAUAUCGCCAUCUUGUGGUUAUUUGAAAGGUUGCAAUGAGGUUGAUAUGGUGCAAAAAUCCUUUUGUUUGCCUUUUUUCUAUUGCACAUUUCCAGACAAAGGUCUAUAGCUCAAUUUCUUCUGGCAUUCUUGUUUGUUUGUUUGUUUGUUUGUUUGUUUGUUUGUUUGUUUGUUUGUUUUUUGGAGUGGGGUAUUUGGCAAACUGUAUUUGUUUGUUUCCAGUAGGUAUAUUUUGUUUUCACUUAAUUUUAAGGGGCAUGCUGUUUUCAAAGAAUUCCACAUCCAGGCUUUGGGCUUCAAAUGUACAGCAUAUAUAAAACAGUAAAACAUCAAACAUUGAAAACUUCCUGAUACAGGGCUGCCUUCAGGUGUCUUCUAAAAGCUAUGUAGCUCUUUAUCUCCUUGACAUCUGAAGGGAGGGAGUUUUGCAAGGGGAGGGCUCCACUACCCAGAAGGCCUUAUCUUAGGAAAGGACCAAAGCUCAGCUGUAUAGCCCGUUUCAGGUCCUUGGAUCAAUCCCUGGGUUUGAAUUAAAAGGAACUCAGCUAGCAAUGCUAGAGAACUUUUGCCAAAGUCCUUGGCGGGCUGCUGCCACUCAGAGUAGAUGAUAUGGGCUAGAUGAUGGGUAACCAACACUGUGCCCGUGGUCACUCAUGCACUUGGAGAGGCUUUCCCUAGAAACCACAGGGUCACAUCCUCCCUGCAAUUUACAUUCUUGAACUAUGGCACUCACCACCACAGAAGGCAGUGAUGGCUACCAGCUGGGAGGGCCAGUUGCUCUACCUCUUGGCCUUGGAAGCCUGAUAAGAAGCUGCUGAAGUAAAGGAACUGCGAGGAACAUCAUGGCAGGAAUAUUUCCAAGACUAAGGUGAAACUGUGAAGCUCCCUUGUUCUUUUUCGCUAUUGGGUGCUACAUGUUGUUUAAGCAAUCUUGUUAUGUUUAUAGCAUUGGAAUGGGGGAGGGUUGGUAUGUUAUAUUCGCUGUAGUUUUGCUGUGUUAUUAUGAAAUUGUCUUAGUCAUGUCUGUUUGAAAUGCAUGCCUCUUUCUUUGUUGCAAGCUGUCUUGAGCAUGCUUCUUUUGUGUGUGGAAAAGCAGCAUACAAUUGAAAUGAAUGAAUGCAUGAAUGAAUGAAUGAAUGGAUAGAGGAUUGGACAAAUUCAGGGAGGAGAAGACUAGUAGCCAUGAUGACUAUGCUCUGCCUUCACGGUCAGAGGCAGUAAUGCUUCUCAAUACCAGUUGCUGAAAAAUACCACUGGGGAGUGUGAUCUUCUGCUCAGGUCCCACUUGAGAGUUUCGUGGUGGCCACUGUGAUUGCAGAAUGCUCCACUAUAUGGACCAUCGGCCUGAUCCAGUAGGCUCUUCUUAUGUUGCCUGUUGAUAGGAAUUGAAGAAGCCUAUUGCAGCUAACAGAAGGGUUUUUCUUCCUAACCUAAUUGUUGUGUGGGUGCAAUUGGAAAGUAUUGCUCCUUCCCUCCCCAGCUGUCAGGAUGCUGUCAGAGGUUCCUAGAUGGUUGCCCAGGAAAGUAUAAAGACAAGGAAAGGUUUCUUACUGUCCUUUUUUAUUCAAUAUUUACAGAGAGAGGCUAUAGAACCCAGCCUCUUGGAUAAUGGCGCUGUCCCGAGCAAAUCUCACUGCCCCCGUCUCUCCCACUUCCUCAUUCGUCACUUCUACAGGUGCCGCUAAGUACCCUCUGUCUUUGAGCUCUUUGCUCUCCUACUUUCAAGGCUCACCUGGUUCUAGAAUGUAUUUCCAAUGACAUUGUGUCCAUCAGCUGUAGCUCCACUUCCACUUCCUCCUACGCCUCUCCCAUUAUUUCCCAACCUUUCCCCUCAUCUGCCUCUGAGCUGUGACCUCCCGCAAAGCCCUGUUGUAAAUCUAUACUGUCUUCCUCUUCCUCCUUCCUGGAAGGGUCAAGCUGGGGAGGCAGUCCCCACCAUUCCUCCUCUGCCCAGUCCCUAACACCAGCUGUGACUCGUGGUAUGUUAGCCCCCAUCCUCCCACUUGCCACAAGCUUAUCUUUUUUCCAAUCCCAUUUUAUUGAUAUUUACAGUUGAGGAGGGAAGAUAACCCAGCAAAAAGCAGCUGGGGGCAGGGGAAGAGUCUUGAAAUACAGUCAUACCUCGGGUUACAGAUGCUUCAGGUUGCAUUUUUUUCGGGUUACAGACCCACCAAAACCCGAAAGUAUUGGAAGAGGUUACUACCGGGUUUCGGGGGUUGUGCAUGCACAGAAGCACCGAAUCGCAACCCGCGCUUGCGCAGUUAACGUUCACAACCCGAGCGUCCACUGUAAAGCGAAAACUCUUUUUCCAAGCUUAAUUGCUGGCAGGGAGGUUAUGGGCCAUGUGUGGUGCACCCAUGGCACUCCUGUGCAAACAGACCCAGAAAAGUUGGCAACCGUUGGCUUAGGUGGACCAAAUGGACUUAUACUGAGACAACAUCCUUCCCUUUCUGUCCUAUUUGCCCUUGUUCUUGCCCAAGCCUUAAUACGGGGAAAUUGCAUAGAGGGAGUGAAGAGGUGGAUGACAUAAGGAUAUUAGAAGAAGAAAAAGAGUUUGAACCCUUAAGGAGUCUCAAAGCCACAUCAGUUUCAGCCUGAUUCUCUCUAAGGCUGCUGAAUCAUGAGAAAGGCACACACCCCUGCCUCUGGGGAUAUGACUCACAUUAAUUUACAUUAACACCAUCUAGUAAUUCUGCUUGGAAUUGUGCCUUCACAUGUCAUUUAUUUCCACAAUUUGCAUCCUGCUGAACAUUGUAGCAUCUAAGCUGUGUACAAUAGAAUUGCAAGAAAAAGAAAAAGAACAGGAAUAAAGUGGAGGGGGUCAGUUCAAAUAAAUCAGAAAACUU